GGAUAACUGGAUGUAGUUGUUGUGUGCCUUAUACUAAUCACAAAAAUGGUUCACACGGUCCAUCCUCCGUUGUACAAUGUAUAGCCAGCCAUGGCAGAAAACCAUACAUUUGUCUUUUGAAUGCGCCCCCUUCCUUACUGUAAUUUUACCAAUUUAUUCAGCUCAAGGAAUGGUUUGGACGUUUGGUCAUGUCCCCCCCCUCUAAAAAAGGAGAUUGAUAUGGCUCUUAGGUAUCAUUAUGCAUAGGUAGCUAAGUGAUAAAUUAACUUGGGAGUGCUAAUCUCUCUUGUACUCUGUCAUGAUAGGGAUUUAUAAUUGCAUCAACAGCUACUGAGGAGAUGAGGCACUGAUAACACCCUUAGCUUUCUGUUGUGUACCAACUACCAAGCACCAAAAUAUUCCUCCCUAUCAUGCCUGAAUUAAGAGAGGUUACAUUUGUCUGCUUACCUUCUUUCAGGUACCGCGAACAUGUUGUAUGAAUCAAUAGAGACACCAAGUUGAAACUUUUAAGGAAGGGUAUCUUAACACAUAUAUAUGCGCCCAUGUCCUUCUUGCUUACUUUCACAUUAGUUAUGGGAGCUCUAAUGUUCAUGUUGAUGUCACUGAGACAAGCGAGGUACGACAGAGUCCAGUGAUUUGAAAAAAGGUUUGGUUAAUGCUAUUCAAGACCUAUAUGAUGUUGUUCAUCAUGAAGCGUUUUCAGUUGAUAUGAGUGGCCACAUUGAAGACUGGGAUCAAAUUAAUUUAGCAAGGGCUGAAGGUCACCUCUUCAAUAAACUCAAGUGGCCAAAUGAUCCCAAAUUGAAAGACUUGAUCAAGAGAUUGUAUUCACUUCUGACAAUUAAAGAAUCUUCUGCAACUAUCCCUAAAAAUUUAGAAGCAAGGCGAAGUCUUCAGUUCUUUUACGACCUCACUGUUCAUGGAAAUGCCUGUUGCACGGCCUGUUUCGGAAAUGGUCUCCUUUAGUGUGUUUACUCCAUAUUACUCUGAGAUUGUACUCUACAACAUGGCUGAACUUCAGAAGAAAAACGAAGAUGGUACAACUACACUGUUUUAUCUCCAGAAGAUUUACCCAGGUCUGGGCUUUACUUCUUUCCGUUUUCCAUGAGCGCUGAAAGGAAUACCUGGAUUCUCUAUAGUGUAACCUUCUCUUGUGAUCCUUCAGUUAUAUUUGUUUUCCUGUUGUGAUGUGUAUGUCUAACAAACUUGGAAGUUAAAAUUUCUUCCAAAACGGUCGUGUUUCUCCCCCAAUUACUUGUGCAUGUCUCCGCCAUAAAUUUAGGGCAUUGCAAUUGCUAGAUGGUUAUUUCUGCAGUGCUACACUGACAAAACAACAACAUACCUGUGAUUUUUCUUCAGUUACCAGUGGUAGAUGGUUAUUUCUGCAGUUGCAGUACAUCUUGAUCAUGUAACUUAAGAUCUAGCGCUACAGCCUACAGGUAAGUGUACUCUCUUGCUGAUCGAUCAGACAACAGCAUCACCUAGCAUUCCUGUGAUUUUUCUUCAGUUACCAGUGCUGAUUUCAAAAGUCAACAAUGUCAUAUAUCUAAGAAUGGAGGUAGUACAAUUUAUUUGUAAUUUUUAUUGAGCCGAUCACUGCAUUUCGUCAGGUCCUUGCUACUAGAGUUACAACAUGGCUGUUAGACAGAGCUGGACGACGCAUCCUUCUCAGUUCUCAUUGUAACUGUCGCUUCCCUGUGAAAUAACUAGCUUGCAUGCUUUCUUUGUAACUAUUGACUUAACACUGUCUUCAAAUGACAUAUUUCUACCUCUGGCAUGACUCUAUGCCUUCUUGCCGUUUCUGUGGUAUUUUUCUCAAGGUAUGUUCAAGUUUCUUUAUCUAGGAUUCGAGUGAGAAGAUGAUAAAACUUUAUUGGUAAUGCGUGCCUUAUGCAGAUCCUGUACAAUAUCUACUGAGGUUUCUUCUAAUCCUUUUUUAUGGUUCGUUUUUUUCCAGGAUAACAUUUCAUAGGAUUCUAACUCGUACUACAUCUUAACAAUGAUCUCCCUUUGUUGGUAUUGUGUCUUUCGUCAUUACCUUCUCGUUUGGUAUGGGUGCCAUUCCAUGGCUCAUGAUGUCUGAGGUAAGCUACUUCUUUCUCUACUUCUUUGCUAGCUCAUUGUCUGCCUGAACUCCCCACUGCCCCCAUUUCUUCUCCGCCAUGAUGCGUGGGCAUAGGAGGAUGUUCGUGGCCGCACAACGGCAAGAGACAGGUACACAGGACGCCUAGGCGGCGGUGACGCGGGGAGGCCGCGAAGGACGCCACACGGGGGCUGCGGCACGAGCUCGACGCCGAGCGGGCCUCCGUGGAGACAGUAGCCAGAUCUGGCCAUUGAGUGCCCCGACGCCGCUGCUUACUCAUCCAUCGCCGCGGUGACCUGCUCCCCCUCGGGCAUAUCUGUCCAUUGACACCAAGCAUGUUCUUUCCUGAACUGUUCUAAAAGUUCAGUUUCAUGGUUGUUUAUUCUUUUGAUCAGGAAGGAGAGAAAGGGAGAAUCGGUUAGAAGAAAGAAGAGUCCGAAAGCUAAUUUUGUUUUACCAGUGGAGACACGGAGAUUGGAGGACAGAAGGGCGCAGCACAGGACUACAGCGAGGUGGGAAGGCCAGAUCAAGCAGGAGACAACAAGAGGAUGUGAUAAAUGGUGAUCUCUGCGAGCAGUAUCCCUCCCUCCCAGCUGAUAUGUAGAGGAAGAUUGCUGAUCAUCUGGAUAGAACUCCGACGCCUGCAGCACUGCUUGGUGAGGAUUGCCAAGGAGGAAGACUAGAACAGACAAGAGCAGCGCUAAUCAGUGACAGAGCAUGAUGCCAUCCAGAUGGGACAAGAUAAGGCAUGUUAUGGUGUUCUCUGGUUUCUCAUCGAGAAUAGCUCUUUCUCUUUCGUCAAGAGUUUCACCAAUGGCUUGUAACAACUGGAUGUAAAACAUUUUUUGUUUUUUAAUCGAUGUAGUGUGUUUU